UACAGAGGUCUCAAGCGUUGUUCGGAUUCAUUGGGCGUAAAGGGUGUGUAGGUGGCGCGCUAAGUCGGGUGUGAAAUUUCGGAGCUUAACUCCGAAACUGCAUUCGAUACUGGCGUGCUUGAGGACUGGAGAGGAGACUGGAAUUCAUGGUGUAGCAGUGAAAUGCGUAGAUAUCGUAAGGAAGGCCGGUGGCGAAAGCGAGCCUCUGGACAGUUACUGACGCUGAUGCACGAAGGCCAGGGGAGCAAACGGG
rnacentral:rRNA from 1 species